rnacentral:rRNA from 1 species
GUUGACCUCGGAUCACGUAGGACUACCCGCUGAACUUAAGCAUAUCAAUAAGCGGAGGA